rnacentral:rRNA from 1 species
AAAGCUAGAAAAAGCUACUUUGGUCACAAACUGAAGCUAAGCAGAGCUGCGCCCGGUCAGUACCUGGAUGGGAGACCACAUGGGAAAGCUAGGUUGCUGCCAGAA